UACGAGUGCCUCAAGCGUUAUCCGGAAUCAUUGGGCGUAAAGGAUGUGUGGGUGGUAGUGUUAGUCUCUUGUUACAUUCUUCGGCUUAACCGGGGGCAUGCAAGGGAAACGGCACAACUAGAGGAUGCGAGGGGUCUGUGGAAUUCAUAGUGUAGCGGUAAAAUGCGUUGAUAUUAUGGAGAACCCCAAAAGCGAAGGCAGCAGACUGGAGCACUCCUGACACUGAAACAUGAAAGCGUGGGUCGCGAAUGGG
rnacentral:rRNA from 1 species